AUGCUUUCCCAAAGGGACGACGGGCAGCCCCCGGGGCAUUACACUUACUCCCAGGUGUCUGUCUGGGGUCCCCACACGCGGCAAAAGAGCAACCAGCCUAAGAGGAGAAAACAGAGGCUCCCGGCAGCAGCAGCAAAUGGCAGGCGAGCCCGUGCCCCACGUCGCGGCCGCCGGCUGACGGGCAGCAGUUUCAGCACUGUGGACCGCGGCGUGCGCUCGGCGCCCGAGCCCAGCCCCGGCGCGGGGCUCCCGGGGGCGGUCGCCCCGCGCCCGCGGACGCUCCCGCAGCGUCCAGGGAGGACCGGGUGCCGGCCAGGGGCCAGGCGGGCUCUGGCGAGCGCCGCCUCCUCCCCUCCCGCCGCCCCUAUUUACCUCCUCAGCCAAGGUCACGGCCCCGCGGCGUCUCCGCUCCCGGGCGGAGUACUGGGUGCAGGCGGUGUCAGCUGGCGGCAAGCGGAGCAGCGAGGCAGGGCAGCUUCAUCACACUCGGCGGAUGCGGAUUCCGCGCCGCCCCGGCUCGUGCUGCUUGAGGCGACCGCCACCCUCACCACCGCCCGUGCACAGGCGGCGCCGGCAGCCGCCGCUCGCGCCCGCUCCCCGGGGCCGCCUCACUGGCUCCCCCCUCCCUCCCUCCCUCCCUCUCUCCCUCUCUCCCUCCUCCUCCUCCGCCUCCUCCUCCUCCUCCGCUGCUCCUCCCGGGAUCUGGGACCAGCGGAGCGCGCGCGGGAGUCGAGACGCCCGGCCCGUGCGCGCGACUGGGAGGAGGGAGGAGGCGACGGUCACGUGGGGCAGGGGCGUCCGAAGGUGCCGGCUCGGAUCGGCUCGGCGCUGGGCCGCCGCCACUACGCCUGGGCCUCGCGGCUUCCCCACCCUAGUCCCGCAGCCGCCGGCCCCCGCCCCAUACACCGCGCCCGCCCGGGUGUGCGCGCCGCUGAAGGCCCCCAGACCGGAGCUGUAUGCCGAGUUGUUUCUGCUUCCAUGACCAAGUUGCUGGCAGAACUCAAAUCCAAGUCUUCCAGGACCUUUUCAUUAUUCCACAAGAAAUCCAACUUAGGAAGAAGCAAGAAACUGGAGUACUUAGAUUCAUCUGAAGAGAGCAUGGAUGGCUCUUCAGCCGGCUGAAUGACAUUCUCAUGCAUGUUAUAUUGAAAAACAGAAGACCAGAAGACCCAUCAUAUUUCCAGAUGCAUACCAACUCAGACAUGCCUCUACAACAGAUUUCAAGAAGAUGGGACUCCUGGGUAUAUAUCCAAGAGAAAUGCAAUCCACCUGUUGAAUAGAUAUCUGCACUCCCAUGUUUAUUGCAGCACUAUUCACAAUCAUCAAGAAAUUAAAACAACCUAAGUGUCUAUCUACCAAUGAAUUAAUGUAGAAAAUUUAGCUCAUACAUGCAACAGAAUAUUACUGAGCCAUAAAAGGGGAUGAAAUCUUGUCGUUUUCAGCCACAUAGAUUUAACAGGAAGUCAUUAUGUCAUGUGAAAUAAGCCAAGCACAGAAAGACAAAUAUCACAUGAUCUCACUCAUGUGGAGUCCAAAAAAAUAGGUGAUCUCAUACAAUUCAAAAAUAUAAAGGUGGUGAGCAGAGCCUGGGGAUGGAAGUUGAAAGGAAAAAUUAGGAAAGGUCGAUUGAUAGAUACUAGGUUAUAACUAGAUAGAAGGAUAAAGUUUUAUGGUUCUAUUGCACAGUAAGGUGACUGUAGGUAAUGUUAAUUCAUUGUAUUUACUUCCAUUUAAAAAACUCCUUGAAUAUAUUAUUUUGUAUGCUUUCACCAUAAGGAAAUGUUAAAUGCUUGAAAUAAUAAAUAUAUUUACUCUGAAUAUUAUACAAUGUACAUAUGCAAUGAAACAUCACAUAGUACCACAUAAAACACAUUUUUAAGCUAAAAACUUUUAUAAUAAAAAUGAUGGAAUUGCCCCUUGUUAAAAAA